rnacentral:lncRNA from 1 species
CCCAAAACCAAACACGAAACAAAUCUAAUUCUAAUCCAACAUUAAUCUCCAACAACAGGUCCAAACAAGUUAAAAAUCAAAUUCAAACCGGACGAUCUCAGACUCAGACUCUCUCGGUCUCUCCUUCUCCAACCUAUUUUUUCAAAUUUUCAAUCCAAAAUUUCUAUAAAAUUAAGGAACUCAUUACCCUAAUCAAAGAUUUCAUAGCCCAAUACCUUCUAGUAGAUGCCGCGAAGAACCGCCAGUCCGCCAUGUAGAGGUGGCUCAGCGCCUCAAGCCCUCAGCCCAAUACCUUCUAAUCCGUCGGCACCACAUCUGUUCUCCGUCUCUCUUUGUGUGUCUGUGAGCCUCUCUCUUUGAAUGGCUAUUAUGGCUUGUAUUAUGUAGAGUUUAUAGACCAUAGUUGUAUAGGAUUAGAAAAUCUAAUAUCUGAAAACGGAAACGGGAGGCCCGAGGCUAGAAGUGUUGGAACUUAGAAAAUAAAAGAAGAAGAAUAGCCUUUUAUAUAGAUUGUUGACACAGGGAAGAUUCUUAAAGUGAUAAAGUCAAAAGUUAAUUAAUUAAAGAAUAAGAAUUGUUUGUCAGUUGUAGUUUAAACUUUAAAGCACAAAUAGAUUAUAGAUAUUAUCUCAUCUCAUGUCUAUCUUUCUAAGUCAUUAUUUUUAUAUUGUUUAAAAUAUUUUGAAUGAUUUUC